rnacentral:rRNA from 1 species
CCCUUAGAUGUCCUGGGCCGCACGCGCGUUACACUGAUGCAUUCAACGAGCUUAUAACCUUGGCCGAGAGGCCUGGGCAAUCUUGUUAACGUGCAUCGUGAUGGGGAUAGAUUAUUGAAAUUAUUAAUCUUGAACGAGGAAUUCCUAGUAAACGCAGAUCAUCAAUCUGCAUUGAUUACGUCCCUGCCCUUUGUACACACCGCCCGUCGCACCUACCGAUUGGGUGGUCCGGUGAAGCCUCGGGAUUGUGGUUCUUGCCGCUUUAUUGUGGCGUGACCGCGAGAACUUGUCUAAACCUUAUCAUCUAGAGGAAGGUGAAGUCGUAACA